rnacentral:piRNA from 1 species
UACUGAGAGGAUUCAGUCUGUCUGC